ACGGGAGGCAGCAGUGGGGAAUAUUGCACAAUGGGGGAAACCCUGAUGCAGCGACGCCGCGUGAGUGAAGAAGUAUUUCGGUAUGUAAAGCUCUAUCAGCAGGGAAGAAAAUGACGGUACCUGACUAAGAAGCCCCGGCUAACUACGUGCCAGCAGCCGCGGUAAUACGUAGGGAGCGAGCGUUGUCCGGAUUUACUGGGUGUAAAGGGUGCGUAGGCGGGCUUGCAAGUCAGGCGUGAAAUACCGGGGCUUAACUCCGGGGCUGCGCUUGAAACUGUAAGUCUUGAGUGAAGUAGAGGCAGGCGGAAUUCCCAGUGUAGCGGUGAAAUGCGUAGAUAUUGGGAGGAACACCAGUGGCGAAGGCGGCCUGCUGGGCUUUAACUGACGCUGAGGCACGAAAGUAUGGGGAGCAAACAGGAUUAGAUACCCUGGUA
rnacentral:rRNA from 1 species